CGCUUCUUUCUUCUUUCAACGGCAGCAACAGUUAGUCAGACACCUCGAUAGCUUGCUAGACAACAGACGAAACAAUAAAGCUCUUUAGACGCUUUAGUGUAUAUUAGCCACUGUGUUUUAAAUACAACACACUUCUGUCGUCUAGUUAGUUAUCAGAUUUAAUUUAAUAUUUACGGUGUUGUUAUUAUUGGUCAUCUAGCUGGCUGGUUAAAUUAGCAUUAGCCUAGCUAGCUAACAUCUCCGACCAUGUGUUCACUAAGCUACUCUCCUCCUGAUAAAGAAGAGGAGGUCUGCUGGACGGAGAAAGAGGGUCUGUGGCUGAAUGUUGUCGUAAAAGAGGAGAAGGAAGAGGACCAUGUCACUAUACAAAAACAAGUAGAUGCGGAGGCCACGGGAUCUCUAAAUCUGGACAGUUGCUGCUCUGAUGUUACAUCUUUGUUAUUGAACUUCUACAGGAAAAACUGUCCCAAAGUCUGGACAGUUGCUGCAUCCCAGAGAUAAAA